rnacentral:sRNA from 2 species
UAUUUAAUUAUCCACAUGAUGAUACGGUAGAAAAGGAUUUUUUGCAGAUAUAUCUAUUUUCAAAGUCCUUUACACACAUUCCUCUAGAGGAUAUUUCCCUUCCUUCAAACAACAUAGCGUAUACUGCAACCACAAAACAAUUUGAUAUCUACAAAUAUAUAUACUAUCCAUUGAAACAGAUGCUGAUUGAAAGCUUUGUUAAGACUGCAAAUUGAUGAAGAAAGAGAGUCAGGUUAUUUCACAUGAGGUGAGUCAUUGAGAUCCUGGAUAUCUAUGAUGAUAGAAUACCUAGAGGUCAAUAAUGAUGUUCUUGAUCAUUGUUCAGAGAAACAUGCAGUGGAAUGGUAUAAUAUCAACUUUGAUUGAAUUCAUGAGGUCAAAUUUGGUUCUAUGGAUCAAUGCAUUUCGAAACACCUUGGCUCAGACAGAGAGCUACCAAAGAUAUGAGAGGGAAUCUCUCGGAACUGGAUAAUGUCCGAAUAUUGACCCAAAUACUGAAUAUCAAUAGAUAAUUGAAUUGACUAUGAUCACUCUGGUAAUUACAUGAUAACUGGGC